rnacentral:rRNA from 1 species
UACGAAGGGGGCUAGCGUUGUUCGGAAUUACUGGGCGUAAAGCGCGCGCAGGCGGUCUUCCAAGCCAGUGGUGAAAGCCCGGAGCUCAACUCCGGAACUGCCAUUGAAACUGUUAGACUUGAGGAUGAGAGAGGUGAGUGGAAUUCCCAGUGUAGAGGUGAAAUUCGUAGAUAUUGGGAAGAACACCGGUGGCGAAGGCGGCAUCCUGGACCGACACUGACGCUGAUGAGCGAAAGCCAGGGGAGCAAACGGG